GCACUCAUAGCUCAACUGGAUAGAGUACUAGGUUGCGGUCCUAGAGGUUAGGGGUUCAAGUCCUCUUGAGUGCG
rnacentral:tRNA from 1 species